UAAACCAAUGGAGAAGGAUAAAACGCAAAUGCCGAAGAAGAUCACGAGAGGCAGCAGCACUGUGGUGCCUGGAGGCGAGGCAGAUUGUGCUGAAAGAAGAGAUCACACAGGUACGUAGGGGCCCUCCCACAAGAGGAAGACAGGGGAAAAAGGAAAAAGAAGAAAACUCCACACUGUUGGAAAUUUCUUUGCUUUCCAAACAUUUUAGCUAUCUCUUGAAAUAAUGGAAAUUAAACCUCUCCUGACUCAGAGGAAUGAAACGCAAGCCAAUCACAAAAUCAUUUCCUUUUAGAAUUGGAAGUCAUCUCAAAGAGGCUGUGUAGAAAGAACUAAUUCAAAGCAGUAAGGGGCAGGGUGUGAAUUCCAGUCCAUUCGUUGGCUGGCACUGUGACUCCAAGCAAGUCAUUUAACCUGUAAGCCUCAGUUUGCUCAUCAGUAAAGUAAGACUCUUACCCACCUGUCAGAA